CACUAUCGUUAACUGAAUACAUAGGUUAACGAGGCGAACCGGGGGAACUGAAACAUCUAAGUACCCCGAGGAAAAGAAAUCAACCGAGAUUCCCCCAGUAGCGGCGAGCGAACGGGGAGCAGCCCAGAGUCUGAAUCAGCUUGUGUGUUAGUGGAACGGUCUGGAAAGUCCGACGGUACAGGGUGAUAGUCCCGUACACCAAAAUGCACAGGUUGUGAACUCGAAGAGUAGGGCGGGACACGUGGUAUCCUGUCUGAAUAUGGGGGGACCAUCCUCCAAGGCUAAAUACUCCUGACUGACCGAUAGUGAACCAGUACCGUGAGGGAAAGGCGAAAAGAACCCCGGCGAGGGGAGUGAAAAAGAACCUGAAACCGUGUACGUACAAGCAGUGGGAGCACCUUCGGGUGUGACUGCGUACCUUUUGUAUAAUGGGUCAGCGACUUAUAUUCUGUAGCAAGGUUAACCGUAUAGGGGAGCCGCAGGGAAACCGAGUCUUAACUGGGCGUUAAGUUGCAGGGUAUAGACCCGAAACCCGGUGAUCUAGCCAUGGGCAGGUUGAAGGUUGGGUAACACUAACUGGAGGACCGAACCGACUAAUGUUGAAAAAUUAGCGGAUGACUUGUGGCUGGGGGUGAAAGGCCAAUCAAACCGGGAGAUAGCUGGUUCUCCCCGAAAGCUAUUUAGGUAGCGCCUCGUGAAUUCAUCUUCGGGGGUAGAGCACUGUUUCGGCUAGGGGGUCAUCCCGACUUACCAACCCGAUGCAAACUACGAAUACCGAAGAAUGUUAUCACGGGAGACACACGGCGGGUGCUAACGUCCGUCGUGAAGAGGGAAACAACCCAGACCGCCAGCUAAGGUCCCAAAGUCAUGGUUAAGUGGGAAACGAUGUGGGAAGGCACAGACAGCCAGGAUGUUGGCUUAGAAGCAGCCAUCAUUUAAAGAAAGCGUAAUAGCUCACUGGUCGAGUCGGCCUGCGCGGAAGAUGUAACGGGGCUAAACCAUGCACCGAAGCUGCGGCAGCGACACUAUGUGUUGUUGGGUAGGGGAGCGUUCUGUAAGCCUGCGAAGGUGACCUGUGAGGGUUGCUGGAGGUAUCAGAAGUGCGAAUGCUGACAUAAGUAACGAUAAAGCGGGUGAAAAGCCCGCUCGCCGGAAGACCAAGGGUUCCUGUCCAACGUUAAUCGGGGCAGGGUGAGUCGACCCCUAAGGCGAGGCCGAAAGGCGUAGUCGAUGGGAAACAGGUUAAUAUUCCUGUACUUGGUGUUACUGCGAAGGGGGGACGGAGAAGGCUAUGUUAGCCGGGCGACGGUUGUCCCGGUUUAAGCAUGUAGGCUGAUUGUCCAGGCAAAUCCGGAUAAUCAAGGCUGAGGUGUGAUGACGAGGCACUACGGUGCUGAAGUAACAAAUGCCCUGCUUCCAGGAAAAGCCUCUAAGCAUCAGGUAACAUCAAAUCGUACCCCAAACCGACACAGGUGGUCAGGUAGAGAAUACCAAGGCGCUUGAGAGAACUCGGGUGAAGGAACUAGGCAAAAUGGUGCCGUAACUUCGGGAGAAGGCACGCUGGUGUGUAGGUGAAGUCCCUGCGGAUGGAGCUGAGACCAGUCGAAGAUACCAGCUGGCUGCAACUGUUUAUUAAAAACACAGCACUGUGCAAACACGAAAGUGGACGUAUACGGUGUGACGCCUGCCCGGUGCCGGAAGGUUAAUUGAUGGGGUUAUCCGUAAGGAGAAGCUCUUGAUCGAAGCCCCGGUAAACGGCGGCCGUAACUAUAACGGUCCUAAGGUAGCGAAAUUCCUUGUCGGGUAAGUUCCGACCUGCACGAAUGGCGUAAUGAUGGCCAGGCUGUCUCCACCCGAGACUCAGUGAAAUUGAACUCGCUGUGAAGAUGCAGUGUACCCGCGGCAAGACGGAAAGACCCCGUGAACCUUUACUAUAGCUUGACACUGAACAUUGAGCCUUGAUGUGUAGGAUAGGUGGGAGGCUUUGAAGCGUGGACGCCAGUCUGCGUGGAGCCAACCUUGAAAUACCACCCUUUAAUGUUUGAUGUUCUAACGUUGGCCCCUGACCGGGGUUGCGGACAGUGUCUGGUGGGUAGUUUGACUGGGGCGGUCUCCUCCCAAAGCGUAACGGAGGAGCACGAAGGUUAGCUAAUCCUGGUCGGACAUCAGGAGGUUAGUGCAAUGGCAUAAGCUAGCUUGACUGCGAGCGUGACGGCGCGAGCAGGUGCGAAAGCAGGUCAUAGUGAUCCGGUGGUUCUGAAUGGAAGGGCCAUCGCUCAACGGAUAAAAGGUACUCCGGGGAUAACAGGCUGAUACCGCCCAAGAGUUCAUAUCGACGGCGGUGUUUGGCACCUCGAUGUCGGCUCAUCACAUCCUGGGGCUGAAGUAGGUCCCAAGGGUAUGGCUGUUCGCCAUUUAAAGUGGUACGCGAGCUGGGUUUAGAACGUCGUGAGACAGUUCGGUCCCUAUCUGCCGUGGGCGCUGGAGAAUUGAGGGGGGCUGCUCCUAGUACGAGAGGACCGGAGUGGACGCAUCACUGGUGUUCGGGUUGUCAUGCCAAUGGCACUGCCCGGUAGCUAAAUGCGGAAGAGAUAAGUGCUGAAAGCAUCUAAGCACGAAACUUGCCCCGAGAUGAGUUCUCCCUGAGACUUUAAGUCUCCUGAAGGAACGUUGAAGACGACGACGUUGAUAGGCCGGGUGUGUAAGCGCAGCGAUGCGUUGAGCUAACCGGUACUAAUGAACCGUGAGGCUUAACCUU
rnacentral:rRNA from 1 species